AAAGCAGGGGAUCGUAAGACCUUGCGCUUUUGGAGCGGCCGAUGUCUGAUUAGCUAGUUGGUGGGGUAAUGGCCUACCAAGGCUUCGAUCAGUAGUUGGUCUGAGAGGACGGCCAGCCACACUGGGACUGAGACACGGCCCAGACUCCUACGGGAGGCAGCAGUGGGGAAUUUUGGACAAUGGGCGCAAGCCUGAUCCAGCCAUGCCGCGUGAGUGAAGAAGGCCUUCGGGUUGUAAAGCUCUUUCAGCCGGGAAGAAAAGGUUGCGAUUAAUAAUCGCAAUUCAUGACGGUACCGAAAGAAGAAGCACCGGCUAACUACGUGCCAGCAGCCGCGGUAAUACGUAGGGUGCGAGCGUUAAUCGGAAUUACUGGGCGUAAAGGGUGCGCAGGCGGUUUUGUAAGUCAGAUGUGAAAUCCCCGGGCUUAACCUGGGAACUGCGUUUGAAACUACAAAGCUAG
rnacentral:rRNA from 1 species